UCAGACAUUUGUCCUUUAGAAAUUGAGAUUUGGGUUUAUGCUUAUGAGACAGCAACUCAAGGCAUUAUUAUAAUUUCUGUGUUAAAGAGUUUAUGGGUGAACUAGAGACAUUAAUUUGGUAUUAGAUAAACCACUUAUAAUAAAUCAAGAACAAGUGAAGUCAUAAAAUUAAAAUUAUAUUUAUUAUAAUUGGAGUUUAUUAUGAACUUGUCACCUCACUCUAUUGGGUAGUUAAUUAUCUUUGCACACGGUCUAUGAUGUCACAGUGCACAUUCCAUUCUUAUCUAUAUUGCUACGUCAUUACUUCUCACGAUGUUGGUGUAUGAUAUCUGAUGCAAGGAAUACAUGAACUUCUAUUGUUUUGGUCAGCUUUUUGCCACCACCUCCCCAC
rnacentral:lncRNA from 1 species